rnacentral:rRNA from 1 species
UUGGAGGGCAAGUCUGGUGCCAGCAGCCGCGGUAAUUCCAGCUCCAAUAGCGUAUAUUAAAGUUGUCGCAGUUAAAAAGCUCGUAGUUGAAUUUCGGGAUCAGUACGCUGGUCGUGCCUUCGGUAUGCACUGGUGUCACUGGUUCCUACCUUCUGAAGAACCGUCAUACCAUUCAGUUGGUGUGGCGGGGAAUCAGGACUGUUACUUUGAAAAAAUUAGAGUGUUUAAAGCAGGC